GACGAACGCUGGCGGCGUGCUUAACACAUGCAAGUCGAACGGAAAGGCCCCUUUGGGGGUCCUCGAGUGGCGAACGGGUGAGUAACACGUGAGUAACCUGCCCUUGACUUCGGGAUAACUUCAGGAAACUGGGGCUAAUACCGGAUAGGAAUCCUUGCUGCAUGGUGGGGGUUGGAAAGCUUCGGCGGUUUUGGAUGGACUCACGGCUUAUCAGCUUGUUGGUGGGGUAGUGGCUUACCAAGGCUUUGACGGGUAGCCGGCCUGAGAGGGCGACCGGCCACAUUGGGACUGAGAUACGGCCCAGACUCCUACGGGAGGCAGCAGUGGGGAAUAUUGCACAAUGGGCGGAAGCCUGAUGCAGCAACGCCGCGUGCGGGAGGACGGCCUUCGGGUUGUAAACCGCUUUCAGCAGGGGCGAAGCUUGUGGUGACGGUACCUGCAGAAGAAGCACCGGCUAACUACGUG
rnacentral:rRNA from 1 species